rnacentral:rRNA from 1 species
AUUGAACGCUGGCGGCAGGCCUAACACAUGCAAGUCGAACGAGUGGCGGACGGGUGAGUAAUGUCUGGGAAACUGCCUGAUGGAGGGGGAUAACUACUGGAAACGGUAGCUAAUACCGCAUACCAUCAGAUGUGCCCAGAUGGGAUUUGCUUGUUGGUGGGGUAACGGCUCACCAAGGCGACGAUCCCUUGCUGGUCUGAGAGGAUGACCGGCAAAACUGGAAUGGAGACACGGGCCAGAGUCACACGGUAGGCAGCAGUGGGGAAUAUUGAACACUGGGCGAAAGCCUGAUGCGGCGAUGCCGCUUGUAUCAAGAAGGCAGUCGGUAUGUAAAGUACUUUCAGCGGGGUGGCGUUACCAGCAGAAGAAGCACCCGCUGAGUCCGUGCCAGCAGCCGCGGUAAUAC